CCUACGGGAGGCAGCAGUGAGGAAUAUUGGUCAAUGGGCGGAAGCCUGAACCAGCCAAGUCGCGUGAGGGAAUAAGGCCCUACGGGUCGUAAACCUCUUUUGCCGGGGAGCAAGGGCGGGGACGUGUCCCGGCCCGGAGAGUACCCGGAGAAAAAGCAUCGGCUAACUCCGUGCCGGCAGCCGCGGUAAUACGGGGGAUGCGAGCGUUAUCCGGAUUUAUGGGGUUUAAAGGGUGCGUAGGCGGGUUAUCAAGUCAGCGGUAAAAUCGUGGAGCUAAACUCCAUCCAGCCGUUGAAACUGAUGAUCUUGAGUGGGCGAGAAGUAUGCGGAAUGCGUGGUGUAGCGGUGAAAUGCAUAGAUAUCACGCAGAACUCCGGUGGCGAAGGCAGCAUACCGGCGCCCGACUGACGCUGAAGCACGAAAGCGUGGGUAUCGAACAGGAUUAGAUACCCGAGUAGUC
rnacentral:rRNA from 1 species